rnacentral:rRNA from 1 species
UUACGGUCAAAUCACGUUGAAACACCGGUUUCUCGUACGAUCACCGAAGUUAAGCAGCGGUAGAGCCAGGUCAGUACUUAGAUGGGGGACCGCUUGGGAACACCUGGUACUGUAAG